GGAACUCCUCCAUGGCCGCUCCGGCCGCCACCGGAACGGCCGGGCCGCCGCCCCGCCCCUGCGCGCGCUUCCGGGAGGCGGCGCCGGCCGCGCGCGCCAUGGAGGAGCGGGACACCCGCGGCGGCUUCGGGAAGGACACGGUGGACCGGCUGCUCCGCCGGCACUUCCGCGACCGGAGGACUCGAGGUACCGGGGCGGCGGGCGGGCCGGGCUGGGCCGGGCCGGGCCCGGCCCCCUCCCUCCCUGAGCGUUUCGCCGUUGCAGUUAACGGCGACGCGCUGCUGCUGAUGGCGGAGAUGCUGAAGGUCUUUGUCCGAGCUGCUGGAUUUCUAGAGGGCUGGUGAAGCAGAAGAUCCCAGCCCCACCGUGAGCGCCCGGCUCCAGGAAGAACAGUCUCAGCUUUUUCCUUCUCUGCCAUUGUGCUCCUGUUUCCUCCCUCCUUCACCAGGACGACAAAGCCUCAGGCAACUGUGCUCUCAGAUGCUAUUUUUGACAAGCGGCUGGCACAUGCUUUAUUUUGGUCGGCCAAGUGUGUAACUGGUUUCCAUCUUGCUCUUUAAUUCCUUUACCAGUAGCGUGUACUUCACAGCACGGGGAGAUGCUGUUGCUUCCUCAGCUAAUGCGAGAAACAGGUACUGCUGCUGCUUCACAGAGAUGCAUGGAAAGAUUAACGGCUGGAAAUGUCAUCCAAACGUCAGGCUCUCAGCACCUCAGCAGGCAGCUGCAGCAGGGACUUUAGGUCCAGCUCCAAGCCUGUCUAAUGAAUAGGUUGUUAACAAGAGUUCAGUCACAGGCUCUUGCCAAAAGCAGGUACUUGCAGGUGACAGCUAUGGUGCCAGCUCUUUGUCAAAACUGGUGGAGUCAAACCAGCUCACCAAAUCAGUAACGUUUGAUGUUGCCUGCGCUCUUCAGAAAGUCAGAGUAGUGCAUCCGAAAGCACAGCCCAGCGUCCGCCCAAGCAGACUGCUGCUGUCCGCCGUGACCCUCCACGAGCGCUGUCCGUCCUGCGUGAACUCAGCAGAGCAGCUCUGGCUACCGGGUACCUCCGACUUGUGGGGACAGAGCGACCCCGACACAGCACCUGAACCGAGACACAGUCCGUCCUACGGAGUGCAGGCUCAGCCCACGCUGCAUCCACUGAAGCAAUAAACUUUAAACAUUAUGUUAGUGGGUUUUGUUCCACUGUAGUGGGUCUCUAAGCCUGGCAGAGCCAGAAGGGCCCGCUCUGUGCAUGAGGGGCUCAGAGCAGCAGCUGUGCGCCGUGCUGCUGCGUUCCCCAGCGGCCACACGCGUUCCCUGUUUAUGUUUGGGCGUUCUAUAAGAAAUCAAUCAACACUUUUGCUAAAGCAUUUUGCUCCCUCCA